rnacentral:rRNA from 1 species
GCCUACGGGGGGCAGCAGUGGGGAAUAUUGGGCAAUGGGCGCAAGCCUGACCCAGCAACGCCGCGUGAAGGAAGAAGGCUUUCGGGUUGUAAACUUCUUUUGUCAGGGACGAAGCAAGUGACGGUACCUGACCAAGAAGCCCCGGCUAACUACGUGCCAGCAGCCGCGGUAAUACGUAGGGGGCAAGCGUUAUCCGGAUUCACUGGGCGUAAAGGGAGCGCAGGCGGCACGGCAAGUCUGGUGUGAAAGCCCGGGGCCCAACCCCGGGACUGCAUUGGAAACUGCCGGGCUGGAGUGCCGGAGGG